CACUUUCUGAAUUCGUGUUGAGAUUUCGUCAGACACCAACUCAUUAGGGCUGAUCAGACUUCCAAGAUAAGUGAAGUC
rnacentral:pre_miRNA from 1 species